CCUACGGGAGGCAGCAGUGAGGAAUAUUGGUCAAUGGACGAGAGUCUGAACCAGCCAAGUAGCGUGAAGGAUGACUGCCCUAUGGGUUGUAAACUUCUUUUAUAUGGGAAUAAAAUGUUCCACGUGUGGGAUUUUGUAUGUACCAUAUGAAUAAGGAUCGGCUAACUCCGUGCCAGCAGCCGCGGUAAUACGGAGGAUCCGAGCGUUAUCCGGAUUUAUUGGGUUUAAAGGGAGCGUAGGUGGAUUGUUAAGUCAGUUGUGACAGUUUGCGGCUCAACCGUAAAAUUGCAGUUGAAACUGGAAGUCUUGAGUACAGUAGAGGUGGGCUGAAUUCGUGGUGUAGCGGUGAAAUGCUGAGAUAUCACGAAGAACUCCGAUUGCGAAGGCAGUUCACUGGACUGCAACUGACACUGAGGCUCGAAAGUGUGGGUAUCAAACAGGAUGAGAUACCCUUGUAGUC
rnacentral:rRNA from 1 species